rnacentral:rRNA from 1 species
UACGGAGGGAGCUAGCGUUGUUCGGAAUUACUGGGCGUAAAGCGCACGUAGGCGGCGACUCAAGUCAGAGGUGAAAGCCUGGAGCUCAACCUCCAGACUGCUUGAACUAGUCGCUAGAAUCUUGGAGAGGCGAGUGGAAUUCCGAGUGUAGAGGUGAAAUUCGUAGAUAUUCGGAAGAACACCAGUGGCGAAGGCGACUCGCUGGACAAGUAUUGACGCUGAGGUGCGAAAGCGUGGGGAGCAAACAGGAUUAGAUACCC